GCCUAUGGCCACACCACCCUGAACGUGCUCCCUCUCAUCUGAUCUCAGAAGCUAAGCGGGGUCGGGCCCGGUUAGUACUUGGAUGGGAGACCACCUCGGAAUACCAGGUGCUGUAGGCG
rnacentral:rRNA from 1 species